GGUGGAAUAUUCGACAAUGGGGGCAACCCUGAUCCAGCAACGCCGCGUGAGCGAAGAAGGCCUUCGGGUCGUAAAGCUCUUUUCUGAGGGAAGAGGAAGGACGGUACCUCAGGAAUAAGUCUCGGCUAACUACGUGCCAGCAGCCGCGGUAAAACGUAGGAGGCGAGCGUUAUCCGGAUUUACUGGGCGUAAAGGGCAAGUAGGCGGUGGCCAAAGUUGGGCGUGACAUCUCCCGGCUCAACUGGGAGGGGUCGUUCAAAACUAGGUCACAGAGGGCAGGAGAGGGAAGCGGAAUUCCUAGUGUAGCGGUGGAAUGCUCAGAUAUUAGGAAGAACACCAGUGGCGAAGGCGGCUUCCUGGCCUGUACCUGACGCUGAGAGGCGAAAGCUAGGGUAGCAAACGGG
rnacentral:rRNA from 2 species